rnacentral:lncRNA from 1 species
UCUAUACUGUCCGUUUUGUUCAUUUGUUAAAAAUGAAUUCAGUUAGAAAUGUGAAACGACUCAAUUUCGAACUUGGAAUCUCGAGUAUCAACAAUUAAGUUUUUAGCCAACUGCACUAGAUGCGGACAGUUUGUUUGGCAGAAUGUCAAACUGAUCGAACUUGUUCAUUAGUUAAGUUAAGGCUUGUAUGUACAUGAGAAGUAUAUGACGAAAAACUAAAG